rnacentral:rRNA from 1 species
GACAGAGGGUGCAAACGUUGCUCGGAAUCACUGGGCGUAAAGCGCGUGUAGGCGGACAAUCAAGUCAGGUGUGAAAUCCCCGGGCUCAACCUGGGAACUGCAUCUGAAACUGGUUGUCUUGAGUGUCGGAGAGGGAAGCGGAAUUCCUGGUGUAGAGGUGAAAUUCGUAGAUAUCAGGAGGAACACCGGUGGCGAAGGCGGCUUCCUGGACGACAACUGACGCUGAGACGCGAAAGCUAGGGGAGCAAACGGG